UUGAUAUUUUCCUGACUGCAUUUCUAAAAGGAAAGGCAUCUGAGAUACUGUUUAAUGUAAGGACUUACAUUGAUAAGUAAAUCUUAAACAGUCUUUGGAGAAAGUGGGAUGUUAGUUAGUUACAGAAAAAUAUGCUGUAUUUCCAACAGUUCAUACUAGAGCUUUUUUUCUUAAGCAGAAGCAAACAGGAAACAACUCUCUCAGUAUUGCCACUGAUUCAGAUUUGAUUCAACUAGGAAAGAAAAGUCUGUAGUUAAAAAAAUAAUUAAAAAACCUCUUUCCUUCCUGGAACAGGAAAUGUAAAAAUAGGAAUAGUCUACUUCCAAAUCCUGCUAAAAGAGGUGAAAAUACCUAAUUUCUUUGCCAAAAAAAAAAAAAAAGGGCUCUACCUUGGUUUUUAAAAGGCAAGUAUAAUGACCUAACCAGUUUCAGAUAUGAAUAUGCAGCAUAUUAAAAAAAGCUCUUUCUGAAGUGACAUUCAGAACACUAAAGCAUACAGAAAUCCUAACUUCCUUGUUUUUCAAGACCACUGUCACAAGCUCCAAAACAGUGUCAAUCAAUUUAAGCAAUAUGUGAACUAUGAACCACCAUUGAUCUAUAAAAUUUAAGAGUACAGGCAACAGAACACUUGCUGACUUCUGACUGUUGGAAGCCAGUAAGCAGUAUCAGUACUCCAGUUAAACUCUCCAGUUAAAAUGGCUGUGAUUAUAACAUGUAAUUUGAUUUUUUCUGAAAUCACAGCAUUGUAUCAACUAGAUGUCAGGUGCUAUAUUUAUUAAGCUCUAAUUGACGAACACUAGUAGAAUAUAAAAUGUUCCAGAGACUCCCCAGUUUUUCUUUUUUCCUUUUCCCCAGAAGACUAUUUGGCUUGUUAAUUACAAAAGGUUGAGAACCACUUUUCUUACAGCCCAGGUUUGGGUUUGUAUAUUGAUUCUAAGUUAGAAAAUUCCUGUCCCAACUCUCGCUUUUUCUUGGUCAGCUUAAAGCCACAGUUUGAAAAAUGGAUGCCUUGGUUUUUCAUAUGUUGAAGAGAGGCUUCAUGUUCAGAAGACUCACUAGUCUAAAUAGGAACGUGUGCCAUCCUUGUGCCAUGGAGUUUUCCUCAGCAGGACAUCUGCCCUUAUUAGAUGUUGGAAGACAUAGAAAUGAAAAUAAAUUCAAACACGUCUGCAGUUGUAGAGAAGAAGUGGUUGAAGUGCAGGGAGCACCUCUUGCUAGCUUUAACUUAGCUAAUACAGUUCAGGACUGUGCCGUUCCUUAGCCAUGACCUAGGAUGUGAGAGAGGAUGCCGGCCCAGGGCAUAGUGUGUGUGGAUCCAGAGUUGUUUAAGCUUCAUGGCGUCACUGACAUGUGGAUUUUUCUCACUACAGCCCCAAAAGAAAGGUGGAUUGCAUUGCUAAAUAAUUUGCACAAUGUCAUUGAGGACUGCCAGACGUCUUGCCCUCGCUGCCUGAGCUGGGAUGGGAGGUUGCUGCUCCCAGCUUAUCCCCAGCUCUCUGCCCCACACUCCUUGCUAGCAUCUGCAAGGUAACUUCAAGCAUAGCUACUGCCUAAUCCUUUGCUGUCAAAAUCAUCCACCCUAGUUGAAAAUGUUUUCUCAUUUGCUUGUGUGCCCUCUCUCUCUCUCACUAGACAGCUAGAGCAAAUACAUGCUAUCCCAGCAGAGGGAACAGGAAAGAGAUCUUUGGUGGGUAGGAUAGGAAUAAACUGAAGGACAGUGAUCUCUUAACCUGGUUCAGCUGCAACCCUCAACUCUUUGAGAAUUAGUGCCAGCAUUAGGAAUGCUCUUCAGAAAUGAUGACUCUCCUCAUUGCCCUCCUCGUAGAUCACACUGUGGGUCUUUUCCCAGAACUCCUUUCUGGGAAGCACAUGAUGCUGAAAACCUCUUGGAUCACACAGCUAAAGCAAAGGCGAUGUGUUGUGGGUUCAUCCCAUCAUCAACUGCAUUAUAAAGCAAACCAAUAAAAGGUCACAUCUCUUAGUCACAACUCUUGUGGUUUGGCUCU